ACGAUUGAGUAUCAGUUUAUUCCCAUUCCCGAACAUGAACUCCAAGCCAAUACUAUUCACAUAGAGGAAUCUUUCGAACCAUACCCCAAUCAACCUAAGGACGAGCAGCAACAACAAAUCAAUGCCGAGCAACAGGAAUUAUCAGAAGAUCAAAAUGAUUCUAAUAAUUUAAUGGAUUAUGAAAUGAUACAACAGGACUUUGCGGAACCAUUGUUUAGUCAAUAUCAGGAUACUAAUGUAACAAUAAAUCCAAUAGAGAAUUUUAAAAGUAAGUUUCGGGCAUUUUCGUUGUUGCCGCCUUUUUGGCUACAUGCAGAAAAUCCUAAUGGGCUGGUAUUUAUGCGAAUGGAUCCAAAAACUCAGAAGAUUAAACAUCAUAUACGUUUAAACGAUGAUCUAACUGUCACUGUAAUUUUUCCCAAUAAUGAACAAUUGCCACUAAAGGAGAAAAUUAAUUCAUAUGACAACACCUACGAUUACUUAAAAUCGGUUGAAAGAUGGCCUUUGUGCGUUGGUACUCAGAUUGACGACAAUAAAUUUUGUAAAGGUGUGAUUAUUGGUGAUGAUACUUACGAAAGAAAUCAACAGUACCCAAGAUGUAAAUCUUGUCGAAUAUUACGAAAUCGUUUGCAGAACCGUAAUUCCACUUCAACUCUAUUACAAAAAAUGGCAGAAGCAAAACGGCGCGCUUCAAAUCUUGUACAUAAAUGCAAGCGUCUGAAGAGGACGGUAAGUCUUAUGCCGGCUACAUACGUACGAUAAAUCGUUGCGAUAAGACUGUGCAGUCCGACUGUGCAGAUAAAUCGAACCGUGUGUAUGACAAAUCGUUACGAUAAUCG